CACGGGGGGAGCAAGCGUUGUUCGGAUUCAUUGGGCGUAAAGGGCUCGUAGGUGGCUUUGUAAGUCGGAGGUGAAAUCCCACGGCUCAACCGUGGACACGCCUUCGAAACUGUGAAGCUUGAGGCUGGGAGAGGAGAUCGGAAUUCCUGGUGUAGCGGUGAAAUGCGUAGAUAUCCGAAGGAACACCGGUGGCGAAGGCGGCUUCCUGGACCGACACUGACGCUGAGGCGCGAAAGCUAGGGGAGCAAACGGG
rnacentral:rRNA from 1 species